AAAACUUUAACCUGAACUUUGCACUAUCAUUUUCUAUGUUCAGUGGACCAUGAAAUUGGGGUCAAAACUAUAAUUUGGCAUUAAAAUUAGAAAGAUCAUAUCAUGGGGAACAUGUGUAUUAAGUUUCAAGUUGAUUGGACUUCAGCUUCAUCAAAAACUACCUCGACCAAAAACUUUAACCGGACGGACGAACGGAGGCACAGACCAGAAAACAUAAUGCCCCUCUACUAUCGUAGGUGGGGCAUAAAAAUUAUUCUACAUGUUAUAACAUUUUACCACACAUGUCUAUAGUAUAACACUAAGCUACAUGUAACAAUGUUUUACCACACAUUUCUAUUUCCACACGUUUAUAGUGUAACACUAAGCUAUGUUUUACCACAUGUUUAUAGUGUAACACUAAGUUCCGCACAUGUCCAUAGUGUAACACUAAGCUAUCUUUUUACCACUCACAUUUAUAGUGUAACACUAAAGUCCAC
rnacentral:lncRNA from 1 species